ACCGCGGCCACCCCAUCCACUCGGUGCCCGUCGGUCACCUCGGGCGAAGCCAAGAGCCCCCACCAAGCAUCCAAGAAAGAGAGAACCGAGAGAGAGAGAGAGAGUUUCGCUGUCGGUCAGAGAUGACGAUGGAGCUUGUCCGUGACGCGCGUCACCGGACCUCGGCAUCGGGCUAGGGAGAUCGGCAAGUUCGCGCUGGACGCCGGGGGUGUUCCCUGUGCUUACGGUGUUGGGAGGGCACCGCAUUAUCACCGCGUGAAGAAGACCGAGUGGGGCUGCCGUAGUGCGGCGCUGCUCGUCCCUAGGCCGAGCCACGGGCAGGUCCACCGUCAUGGCGCGCAGACGUCGGUGCCUAGGAGUCGCGAGGAAGAAGACACUACGGUGAGAUCACGUGGAUCUGAAGAAUCACCCUGGUAACUGGAAUCUCAAGUGCUAG